AGCCGAGUACCAUGGUCGAGGGGGGCCGCUGUCAGUGGAUGACAAGCGGUGGGGAGCGCCGCUCCUCGCUGGCUACCUCAAGGCUGGACAAGAACUAGGCUACAGCAUCAUUGACGCCAACGGGCCAGAACAGAUAGGAUUCUCUGUAGCUGACAUGACACAAGUUAAUGGAGGCAGGUCUUCAGUGGCGCAGUCUUACCUCCGUCCUGCACUCGACCGAGGCAACCUACAUAUUGUCUCCAGAGCCCACGUCACACAGAUUCUGUUUGAUGAUGAGAAGCGAGCAGUUGGCGUUACAUACGAGCACCUGGGCAAGGU